rnacentral:rRNA from 1 species
UACGUAGGGUGCAAGCGUUAAUCGGAAUUACUGGGCGUAAAGGGCGCGUAGGCGGCCUUCUAAGUCGAACGUGAAAUCCCCGGGCUCAACCCGGGAACUGCGUCCGAUACUGGGAGGCUUGAAUCCGGGAGAGGGAUGUGGAAUUCCGAGUGUAGAGGUGAAAUUCGUAGAUAUUCGGAAGAACACCAGUGGCGAAGGCGGCUCACUGGACCGGCAUUGACGCUGAGGUGCGAAAGCGUGGGGAGCAAACAGG